rnacentral:rRNA from 1 species
GUCUAUGGCCAUGCUACCCUGAACAAGCCCGAUCCCGUUCUGAUCUCGGAAGCGUCUGAUCUCGGAAGCUAAGCAGGGUCGGGCCUGGUUAGUACUUGGAUGGGAGACCACCUAGGAAGACCGGGUGCUGUAGGCA